GUACAGGUGUGAUCUUCAUGGAGCUAGCCAUCAUUGGAUUUGGUAAUACAUAAUCACUUAUUCAGAGAGCCCAAGGUGAGAAGGGACGAGCAUCUAGAACACCACCACCUACUAAUCAGUGAGCUACUAUCUGUCUUUGAAUGAGUUACUUAACAAGAGAAGGCAGGUAGCAAUAGAACACGUGCAAUCUCAAUGUUUACUAAUUAUGUAUUUCUGAAUUUAUUCGUUCCCAGCUGCUCUGAAUCUGGGUGUUUUGCUUGCUGCUUUGUAGGAGUUUCCUACCUUUCUUCUGCAAAUCUGGAAUGCCUUUAUGGCAUGAUCAUGUGAAAGAAGUACCUUGAUGCAGUAAUGGAUUUGAUUAUCACUGGU
rnacentral:lncRNA from 1 species